CAGACUUGGUGCAGAUCUACAGAUUCAGCUACACAAAAAUCCCUGAACUCAUCCCUCAAGCAAGGCUGCAGAUAAAUGAAUAAGACCGAAACAUUUGUCCUGGACUUUUGAGGUUGGAUCACACGCACAGGUGAAACAAAGCCCAGAACAAACAGACGUCUUCCGAAAGCCCUGUCCCUUGCAGCUCAAAGCCAGAGACUUCGAAAACUGCUCAUCUAUCUGCUGGUAAUGGCUUCUAACAAGAAGUGAAGAGGGCCACGUAUCGGAUUUGAGCAAUGUGGGGUUUCUAAUUCAAGACAUUUACAGCGGGGCAGAAAGCCUGAGUGGCAUCUUUACGGAGUGGUUACAACAGUCAUCUCGCUGUCAAAAAAAGAGAAAAAACACACAGAAAAAGCUAAUGGGAAGCCAUCCUGGGCCCUGCAUGAUUUAAGGGGUGCUCUUCUAGAGUGACUCUGCUUCGAAUACCUUCAGGCACAACAACACUGAAGUCGUGAAUGGAUUUACAUAGAGAACAGAGGCAGCAGAGAGAAACAGGUAGUCAAAAAUAGUUCUUAAAUGGGCCUCCUGGACUCCGAGGACCUGAUCUCCGUCAGUACCUCUGGACCCUGUGACAACAGGCAACCCCAGCAAGCACUCCCUAAUCACAGCCUUCCCAGCGGCUGCACGCACGCUGUUUUAACUCUUCCCUUUCCUACUCGCUUGGAGUGUUAUUUCACCUUUGUCCAUUAGCAAAUGGACCUUGCUGGUACUGUCAUAUUAGGCCUAUCUUUCUUAUCGACGCAAAUUACAGACCAGAAAAUUCAGGACCAACUUGAAAAAUCCAGAGGACACACGUGGAAGCUGCUUACAUGAUGCAAGAGAAGAGGAAGGAGAUAUUCAUUCAUUUACUGUAUAUGGAAAACAAGAAAGAGAAGUGAACUGAAAGGUGGUUUCUAAAGAGAAUGCUGAGAUAUUCAGAAUCACAUCACAGCACUAUCUCCAGUUUGGGAAUUAUGGCUUGCUUUUUCCACCUGAAAAGCUCAACACGAUCCUCAAGCUGAUGCUUGAUGAGGACAAUAACAAAAUAUUAUAUAAAAUGGUUUGAGGAUCUCUUCAGCAUCCAGCACAAUUUUAACAAUGAAGGGUCUUUCUUAUAUGACUUAUCUAACAGUACGGAUUUUGAUGUGUUCUUCUAGUGUUUUGCAUUCAUAAGAAUACCUUGUUGGGCUACACUUCCAUUUAUCAGAUUCAUAAGAUCUAGCUCACCUGAAAUCAGGAAAGAAAAAGCAACACAGAUUUUAUUGGUACAGCCUGUCUCUGGGCUGUACCAAUUAGUAGACAAGAAACACAUUUUUAAUUGCCUCACGGCUGGUGGUUGACUCCAGAGUCUAGGAUGCCUAUUGGGAUUAGGACCAAAAGCCAAGAAAGCCAGUAGAUGCAACUGAGUUCAACCAAAAGAAUGAAAUGAGUGCAGAGUUUCAGAAAAAGGUGAAUUCACUGAGAACUAAGUACAACUAGAAAAUUGGGAGAGAGAAGCUCACUACUCUGUUCUUCUGAGUAAACAAAAAAGAUGUUUUGUUUUUCCCAAAGAGCCUACUCACUUCUGCAUAGUCUGCAUUCUUCAGCAAGUGAAGAUGAAAUCUUAAGAUGUUCUCGUAAAAAACAGAUGAGAUGAAGCGUGCACAUGAAAGCCCCCCUGGACAGGCUCAGGGUACAUCUAACCCAGCAGCUGCCUGGGAUCCCAACUCCUUGGCUCUGGAUGGAUCUAAGGCUGCCAAAGAGUUUAGCUUCCCAGCGAAAUGGGAAGCCCUCCCUGUCUCAGCUGGCUGCUUCAGAGAAAGGACUAUAGGAGCACCGAGUCCCUGGCUCUGGAGCAAUCCACAAGGCUUUCAGGCACAGUCGGAUUACACAGAAGUUCAUCAAACCCAACCUGCUUCAGAUAAAGCACAUCAGGCCCAGCAACCAAAGCUGGAACAAAUUAAUGCCUUAAAUUAAAUUUUGCUCCUCACUACUUCUGCAUUUUCAGGACCUCCAAUGUGUUGACUCUGCCACCCUGGGAGAUUUCUGAAUCUUCACAUCUAUAUGCCUUCUCUACAGCUUGCUCUCUGAGCAUUUGAAAACCCAUGAAGCCGAUGGUAUUGCACCCUCUGAGGCAACUGAGUCCCAGCCAUCUGCUCUUCUCCAGGCCUGAAUUUAGCCCAGAGGUUGCAAUUUUUUUAGCACACCACAUUCCAGUCAGUUACCAUGGCAACUCACAAGUCAGCCUGUCAGACACUGAUCCUAGUUACAGCUCCACUUCUGUCGGGAUACAGCUAAAUCACUAAUGGACUAAUUUCUAUAAUCAAAAAAUAUGUUUUACGGUCUUUUUUUUUUUAAAUCUAAGAUGAAUAAAGAGCUCAAGGUUUUCAUUCAGAAAUGCUAUUUCCGUAUCAAUCACAUUUGUAUUAAUCUUUUUACAUAUACUAUAUUGAGAAAGAGCCCUUAAGAGCACUUGUUUUUGUCACUGUAUAGAUCAUCAACUGGUGCAUCUAUGCAGCAAUGAUGCCACUAGUCUUUUCCCAAGAAAUACGUUCACCCCAUUGCCUCAAGAGAAGAUUUAAAAUUGCCAGAGCA